rnacentral:lncRNA from 10 species
CUCUGCUGAAAAUCUUGGCUCUUGAUUCCAAUGACACAAGUAAAUAUUUGUUUUAACACACAUAAAUACCCAAAUGACACUACCAAUAUCAUUGCUAAAAAUAAAACUACUGAAUGCAGUUUAAGAUUUAUUUGUGGUUGUUUGGUCUGUAGGAUAUAUUCCAUUAGCAAAGUACAGACAAAAUACUAAGUUUUCAAGUCACUUGAAGUAAGUCUUCUGUGGGGUUAUAUCACCAACUUGACAGACUGUUAAGUUUGUUUUAGUUUUAAGAGUUGCCUUUUCAAAAAAUGUUUAUUAUAUAAAACAUUGACAGGGCCUCAAAAUAAAAGGUAUGUAAGAUACAGAAAUAGUUGCCAUCCUUGUCUAGCUCCCUACCACCACUAACAAGGAGAUCAUUUUAUUAGUUAUUGGUAUAACUAAUUCUUCUAUUGCUUUACAAAAAAAGCAAAUACAUAUUUUUUCCAUUUGUCUCUUCGUUAUACAACAGACAGCACACCAUACAUUCUCUUCUGUGCUUUACAUUUUUCAUUUCCUAUAUUCUGGAGAUUUCUCCAGACCAGAACUACAAAAAUAGUUCGCAGUCCUUUCUACAGCUGUGUAGUAUCCCAUUGUAUAGAUAUACCCUAGUUCCUUCCAUCAAUUCCCUAUCAAUGGAGAUUUGGCUGGCUUCCAGUCUGUAGCUAUUAGAAACAGUGCUGUAAUCAAGAUCUUUGUGCAUAUACUAUUUCAUAUUCUUGCAAGUGCAUCUCAUAUGGAUUCUUAGAACUGGGUCUGCCAGGUUGAAGGAUAUACUCAUUUAACUUUGCUAGUUAACAAAUACCAUCCACAGGGAUUUGUAAUUUUUGGAGUGCCUGUUUCCCUAUUGUCUCAACAGAGUGCAUUGCCUAACUUGGAUUUUCCCCAAUCUCACAGGUAAGAAAGGUAUUUCCAUUAUUUUAUUUUAUUUUGCAUUUGUCUUUUUAUGCAUAUCCUUGUAUGUUUAAAGACCAUUUGCAUUCUAUUUUCUGUUAACUGUCUGUUCACAUCCUUUUGCCUAUUCUUCGGGUUCUUCUCAUAGUUUAAAAUUCUUCAUAUAUAGGGCUACAAUUAGCCCUCUGUGAUAAAUGCUGCAAAUAUUUUCAGCUAUCCAAAAAAAUCUUUUUUCUUCUCUGUCACCCAGGCUGGAGUGCAGUGGCUUACUGCAUCCUCAAACUCCUGGGCUCACAGUCCUCCUACCUCAGCCUCCCAAGUAGGUGGAACCCAGGCCAGGUACUUAAUUUUUUUUUUUUUUUUUUUUUGGUAGAGCCAGUCCUACUAGGUUGCCCAGGUUGGUUUUGAAUUCCUGGUCUCAAGCAGUCCUUCUGCCUCAGCCUCCCAAAAUGCUGGGAUUACAGCCAUGAGCCAUUCCAUCUGGCUGAAAAUUCUUCUAUAGACUUCUCUUUUUAUUGCUUCUGAAUUUUCAGUCCUAGGAAAGUUUUUCUCACUGUCAGAUUAUACAAUAAUUCAUCUAUGUUUUCUUCUAGUUAGAAAGAGGGUUUCAUUUUAAAAAUUGGGUCUUUGUUCUAUUCAGAUUUUAUCCUGUGUAUCCUGUGAGAAAUCGAUUCAAUUUUAUUUUUUUUUCCAAAUGGUUAACCACACUUCUCUCAACACCAUUUUUAAAGCCUUUUUCUCUGAAUGAGAUGCUUUAUCAUGUACUAAAUUCCUAGACUUUCUCAUAUUGUAAACAUUAUGUUAUAAUAUUUAAUAGGGUUAUCCCUCCUUCCACAUUGUUCUUUUCUAGGCAUCUUCUGGCUAUUUUUGUUUAUUCUUUCCAGUACUUCUUGUUUUAUUGAAAUCGCGUAUGGCCCUUUAAGUAUAAAUAUAUAUUACAUAUAUGAAUGAAGACAUUUCAAAAGUGUUCUGCAAAUCAUAUUCUAAAACCAACCUUAGGCAAGGCUUUUUUUUUUUUGGAAAAUCAGAAGAAAAAAGAAGAAAACAGAAGUCAUCUUAAGGGAAUGCAUGGACCCAGCUCAAUCUUCACAAAAUUACAUAUACUAUACCUCAGGGUAAAAUCUAACUUUAAAAAGAGUUACAACAUCUUUCAAAUAAAGCAAAUUCAGUCUGUAGGAAAAUAAAUUAUCACUUGAUAUUGGGGUAUAUCUUUCUUCAAUCACUUGGCACAUCUGCGGCCAGAAACUCCAUUCACUAAGUAAACGAAGGAACUUCUUCCUUCCAAGGGCUGGGACCAAAUUUCCUGUGCAAAAACCUUCCUGUAUAAGUGAAACCUGUCAUUCUCCCAGCAAAGGAUAAUUGAGAUUAGAGAGUGUGUAAAACAAAAAUACAAAAAUAUUACCCAAAUUAUUUGUACCACAUACAGGUUUGAAACCUGGCCAUCCAAAAUACUAACUAAAAAGACUAUUAUUGUUCUUAAGGUAGAGAAAUCAGACAACACAUCUUGGCGCUCAUGUUGCUUCCUGCACUAACCUAGUUAAUCUGACAAGUGAGACAAAUUGUUCAUUGGGAAGAUGUUUAUAUCAUGCUUCAGUAUAAUUUGUCUAUUCUUUUAUAGGGGAGAAAUGUUGAAAAUAGAACAUUCAGUCUUUCUGGCAGUUAAUCAACAGUGACACAACCUUACAUUUCCUAACAACUACAAAUUCCCUAAUUAACCAUUUUAAAAAUGCAAUAACAAAACCAUUAAACCACUAUUUGCUCUAGUUCACUGUUUUUAUUUACAUAGCUACCUUUCUCCUAGACAAGCAACGUUAGCGAAAGAUGCCUUCUUGAUGACAAUCCUAUUCAAUUUUUAUUUAUUUUUUUGGUGAAGGGUUUUCUCAGCAGCCAGUUACCACAUGGAGCAUUUCACAGUUUCAAAGAAGUUUUCCUCAUUUUAAAACUGCAAGAAAAUGCUACACUUGAUGGUAGUUCCUAAAAAAAUAGUUCAAUCAACCUUCUAGAAUUUUUGUAAUAUAACUUCAAGUAUGUAAUGAUUUAAUUAACACAAUACUCUUAAUAAACAACAGCAACAACAAACCCAAGUGCUAGCUCAUUUCUGGUGCCAUGAGACAUAAUAGCACCACUUGUUUUUCUAUUUUAGUGGUUAAAAUGUAUGCAAUUUUAGCACCCAUCUACAAAAGUUAGAUGUUAAUAAAAAUAUGGUAUUACUUGGCUUACUAGGAAGUAACAGUCUUAAUAUCCCCUUAAGAGAAGAAAUCUGUUUCAUUUGCUGCAUCCUGGGUCAUGGAAAAGAAUAGUAUGAAAGGGGGAAACAAAGAACAGCCUUUUAGGUAAGGCUUUUCAGUACCUGAAUCACUGAAAGUAUUGAAGUCAUGUUCCUUGGAAGAGUAGAAUUAUACCACACAUAGGAGGUUCCAAGGAGUUAUGUUGUUAUACACUGUAUGUCAGGAUAGACCACAUUUAAAAUGCUGAACAUGGCUUAGCAGCCUUAAAUAUAAAAAACAGGUAAACUAGAAAAAGUAAUGAUAGUGAUCAACUCCCGUCCUCUAACCAAAAAUCUGCCUUGUCACUCCGUUUCAAAAACAAAGUGAAAUAUUCUAAACAACUGACAAAUUUUUACAUAAAAACACAUUGAAUUUAGAUUAAUAUCAGUUAUCAAGACACAAUAAAUA